UUGCUCACUUCCGCAGCACAUGAACUAAAAUUGGAACGAUACAGAGAAGAUCAGCAUGGCCCCCGCACGAGGAUGACACACAAAUUCACGAAGUGUUUCAUUUUAAA
ensembl:snRNA U6 U6 spliceosomal RNA